GCUCAACAUCAUAUCGCACAAGGUCAGGAAGAGAGGUCAAGCCCAGAGCUCUCCUUGACCUAUGAAAUGUCAAAGGGUGUAGGCGGAUCGCUGCCCUAAAAGAGUUCCAGACUGUAAACUUGUUAUUGAAAGUUGACUUGACAUGCUUUGGUAUUGUAUUUGUUUGAAAUGUUAAGAUGUAAUUUCUACAGUGAAGCUGAGUUGCUGAGAAUCCCUUGUUUGAAAAGUAACAGUAUGUUGGAUCAUUGUUUCAGAGUCUAUGUUGAUUCAGUUGGUGUAGUAUGCAAUAUAAAUGGUUACUUACCUUGAGUUCAAACUACAGAGCAUGUAUCCAAAAGAAAAGCUUAGAAUAUGUAAAACAUUUGUAUUUUGUUUAAAAGAAGGGGGAUGUAAUAUUCAUAUGUGAAUACAUAGUGAAUUAUAAUUGGAUGCAUUUUACCGCCGUACCAUACUGUGCGGUGAUUGGUUAAGACCACCCAGACGGUUAGGUCAGGGGCAGUUGAUCGUGGUUGGAGAUAGCUACAACUACCUGUUAGCCUAGUUAAUAAAGAGUUAUGUUAAGAAACAUCCUGUAGUUCUGCGUUUUAUUAUUUUGUACAAAGUGUACAAAACAAAACACCCCCCACCAGACACCCCCCCCACCAGACACAGUAAGUUGCUAGCUAGCAUUAGCUGGAAUUCUCUACAACAAAAUGCACAACAAAUAUUCACCAAUAAAACACUGCAUCUUAUGUGUGAUGUUCGAAUAACAUUUACAAACAAAUUGAUAUAAAUUGUACAUUUAAAUCAUCACUUGGGAGUAUAAAAAUCACUUUUGACGCACAGUGCUUUGCAACCAACAACUUACCGCUGGUUUGGUGCUUGUUCACUGGGACGAUUCUAACUGAAACAUCCUCCCUCGUAAGCAAGCUACGCAAACCAGCCAAUAAGAUGCCAUGUUGAGUAGGUGAAGGCAAGACAAAAAUAAAACCAAAAACCCAUUGGCUUAACAAUAAAGUGGCAAGGGGAAUCACCAAUAUAACCCUGUUAGACAUAUGCACCGUUUCUAGUGGUUGAAGAAUUGCAUUUCAAGAAGGCAAGUAGAUUAGUGUUUUGUGCAAAUGGUGGAUAUGAUGGACACGUUUAUUCAUAACAAUAAAAAGGUUAAUAACAAGAUGCAAUCAUUUGCCCUUAGUGAGAAUAGAGAACAUCCAUUUCAUUUAUCUUUGCAUUUUAAAAUAAUUAGAAAUAGCGAUCUAUUUCCGAGGCUUUUAUUUAUUUCGUUUCCAUGAUCGUUUCAUAAUAAAUCCCUCAUCUUUUCUGUGAUGGUUUCAUACUCACGACGUAGAAUAUAGGCCUACAAGUUUACCAUUCGUCCCAUCUCUCGUUUAGUUGGACCCACUACACAGCAGUAAAUAGAAAAGUUAUUUCAAGUAUUUUGCUCUAACACCAGAUGCCUAAUUUGUAAACGUUGUCUACACAUGCAUGUGCAAGUUUUCACGCAAAUGUUGUAAUUUAUAAAAACUGAAUUUGACAUGAGAAUUUGCUAAUCCAACCUUUAGACCAUGUGCAUGCACAGUUUCUAGUGGUUGAGGUCUUGCAUUGCAACAGUAGACUAGUUUUAGUCUUGUACAGAUGGGGAAUAUAUGACGAGACUCUUAUUCAGAACUAAAGAACAGACAGGCCGAGCUAAAUAUAAUAAGAUGCAAAUCAUUUGCUGUUAGUGAGAAUGGCGAAAAUUGAUGUAUCUUUACAUUCUAAAAUAGUGAAUAAUCUUUGCUGUUAUUUAUUUAAUGUCCUAGAUCAUUGCAAAAAUAAAUUCCUCACCUUUUCUGAAUGUGUGAUGGUUUCAAAGGCUACUCGCAAAAUAACAUACAGACCUACAAGUUAGGAUUGGCUACUAUUCGUCCCAUCUCUCAUUUAAUUGGACCCACUUCACAGUAGUACAUAGAUAAACUACAGUAUUUCAAGCAGACUAUUUUGCUUUAUGCGCUCGGAUCCAAAGCGCAGUUUAACGUUAGAACAGACCGUUCUCCUUUUCCGUUGACGUGUGUAGGCUAAGCCUGAAUACUGUCAUGUGACAUUUCUUGAGUGGACAAUAUUUCAUUUAUAAACAUAAUUCAUUAUCAUAAUCCUUGUACAGUACAUUCCUCAUAUUUUCUGGCCAUGAUGAGGUCAUAUUCCAUAUGUAGCCAUACAACAAAUGACCAUGCGCAGUUCUCAUUUAAUUGGGCCAAUUAGAGGCUAUUAUUUAAAAUGUUUUCUGUAUGCAGAUGACACAGCCCAACCUCACAUUCAAUUCACGCAUAAAUGUACGUAAUUAAUUUCAACAGAUUUCGUGCGUUUUUGUGCAUUUUUGUGUGGUAUGAAAAGGAAAACUGUAAUGACUGUUUUCCUACUUGCACUUGUUGCAAAAUCCUCCGUGUCUCUUCCUAUCACUAUAACAGUGAUGUUGAAUCACCCAGUUACACCGCCCUGCUUUGGAUCCAAGACCAAGAAAACACACAUCCCCUCAGGAAAAAACACUGGCAUGUCACGCUCUGCUCUGCCGUCUCUGCCAGCCACCAGCAUGACUGACACUUCAUCGGUGUCUCUCUACUGGCACUGUGCGAUAGUCUCUGCUCCCAUUGAGAACUUGGGGAGAGAGAUUCGGAAGAAAUGCUGACUUCCUCUGCAGCCCAGCCCACUGAAUUUGUACGAGGCCGCCUACAAUUGACACGCCACAUUGCAUCAACCAAUGGUUGUGUGCCAUGUCACUGACAAUAAUAAAGUACACAUUUCAUGCAGAACGCUCCAUCUUCAGUGUUUCAAAUAAUAUGUGUAGAUAUUCAGGAGGCUGUAUGUUUGUAUUAUCACAGCACUAUAAUAAAAGGGGCUCCUCAAAAUCCAUUGUGAGACUAAAAACGUCCUAAGGCUCGUCAAUAACAACGACGAGACAGCCUAUAGACAGACAAGAAGCGCAGUGUCUAACAGCGAUGUGCAGUGGAAACAACCUGGAGCUGAACACAAAGAAAAGAA
rnacentral:lncRNA from 1 species